GCCUCCGUGACGCAAUCGGUUAGCGCGUUCGGCUGUUAAACGAAAGAUUGGUGGUUCAGUCCCACCCGGGGCG
rnacentral:tRNA from 1 species